rnacentral:rRNA from 1 species
CCCAGACAGCCAGGAUGUUGGCUUAGAAGCAGCCAUCAUUUAAAGAAAGCGUAAUAGCUCACUGGUCGAGUCGGCCUGCGCGGAAGAUGUAACGGGGCUAAACCAUGCACCGAAGCUGCGGCAGCGACACUGUGUGUUGUUGGGUAGGGGAGCGUUCUGUAAGCCUGCGAAGGUGGCCUGUGAGGGUUGCUGGAGGUAUCAGAAGUGCGAAUGCUGACAUAAGUAACGAUAAAGCGGGUGAAAAGCCCGCUCGCCGGAAGACCAAGGGUUCCUGUCCAACGUUAAUCGGGGCAGGGUGAGUCGACCCCUAAGGCGAGGCCGAAAGGCGUAGUCGAUGGGAAACAGGUUAAUAUUCCUGUACUUGGUGUUACUGCGAAGGGGGGACGGAGAAGGCUAUGUUGGCCGGGCGACGGUUGUCCCGGUUUAAGCGUGUAGGCUGGUUUUCCAGGCAAAUCCGGAAAAUCAAGGCUGAGGCGUGAUGACGAGGCACUACGGUGCUGAAGCAACAAAUGCCCUGCUUCCAGGAAAAGCCUCUAAGCAUCAGGUAACAUCAAAUCGUACCCCAAACCGACACAGGUGGUCAGGUAGAGAAUAC